GGCUCUGUGGUGCAAUGGAUAGCGCAUUGGACUUCUAGGCUGUGAGCUGAGCUAUUCAAAGGUUGUGGGUUUGAGUCCCACCAGAGUUG
rfam:Danio rerio chromosome 4, GRCz11 reference primary assembly.